UAUAAUAACUUGUUCGACUAUGCAGCUAGAUGGCAUUGAAGAGGAACAAAUCAAGCUCUGAGCUUUUCCUUUCUCGUUACAAGGUUUGGCGAAGGACUGGUUAUAUUAUAUGCCGCCAGUUCAUUUAUGACGUGGACAGGGUUGCACAAAGCUUUUCUUGAGAAGUUCUUUCCGGCAUCGAGAAUAGGGUCAAUUAGGAAGGAAAUUUGUGGAAUUAAGCAACUGGUAGGUGAGUCAUUAUACGAGUACUGGGAAAGAUUUAAAUGGCUAUGUGCGAGUUGUCCACAGUAUCAGAUUAGUGAACAGCUUUUAGUACAAUAUUUUUAUGAGGGGUUGAUGCCACAAGAUCGAGGAAUGAUUGAUGCAGCGAGUGGAGGUGCAUUGGUUGAUAAAACCUCGGAGCAAGCCCAAAAUUUAAUUGCUAAUAUGGCGCAGAAUACACAGCAAAUCGGUCUCAGGAGGUCUGAUUUGGGUAAAUGAAUGGAUGAGGGCCAGUCGAGUAUGAUGGAGGCUCAGUUAGCUAACUUAACGGCUAUGGUAAGUAAAUUGAUGACUGGAGGUAAUGCGAAAGCUUCACUAUGUGGCAUUUGUUGUUUGGAAGGCCAUACCACAAAUAUGUGUCCAACAUUACAGGAAGGGGAAGCUAACGUCGUCUUUCCAAAUUAGAGAAGGUAUGAUCCAUAUUCAGCUACCUAUAAUGAGGGAUGGAGAGACCACCCCAAUCUCAGAUACCAAAACCGUGCCACACCUCCGGGAUUUGAGCAGCAAAAUUCCCGACCAUAUAAUUCGUCACAGCAACAACCCAACCAUCAAAACCUUAGUGCUGAAACCAAAACCCAUACCAUGCUUGAACAAAUGAUGAAAAUGAUGGCUGAUCAGAAGAAGGAAACCGAUGGAAGAUUUCAGUCUUUGGAAUUGGCAGUGAAGCAGUUGCAAACCAGAGCCUCGUCGACCGACGUUAAUCUUGGGAGCUUGCAAGCACAGGUAAAUAACCGGUUACCAUCACAGCCCGUGGCAAAUCUGAGGGAUAAUGUCAGUGCUAUAACUUUGCGAAGUGGGAAAGAGUUGAGAUCAAUACUAAAGAAAGUCCAAAAUAGCGAUGAGGUAGACGAAACUGAGGUAAGAAAGGUCCGAUUUAGUGAUAUUGAAGAGGAAAAUUUAGCCUUGCCAAAGGCUGAUUUACAACCGUCGCAAGCAGCUCCAAAAGAAGCAGGGAAAUCACGUUCACAAUAGUCCACUACUUUGCGCGAUACAGCAAAUUUUGAGCAGGAAACAAGGGUUCCCAAACUUCGAGCUCAAGCAAGUCAAGAUGCUAAUAACCAACCUCGGUCUUAUGUGUCGAAGGCGCCAUUUCCACAACGUUUGAGGAAGGAAAAGUCAGAAGACGUUAAUGCCGAAAUUCUAGAGACUUUCCGUAAGGUACAAGUUAAUAUCCCAUUGAUUGAUGCAAUUAAACAAGUACCUAGAUAUGCUAAGUUUUUAAAAGAAUUAUGCACAUCUAAAAGGAAAUUAAUUGGAAAUGAGAAGAUUAGCCUAGGCAAAAAUAUCUCUGCGGUAUUUCAAAAGAAACUUCCUAUUAAAUGUAAAGAUCCUGGAAUGUUUUCGAUACUUUGUAAGAUAGGAGGCCUUAAACUUGAUAGAGCUAUGCUUGAUUUAGGAGUUUCUAUAAAUGUCAUGCCUAGGAGUAUCUACGAUAAAGUUCAAUUAGGUGCAUUAAAAGACACGGGACUGAUAAUUCAACUUGCAGAUAGAAGUGAUGCCUAUCCUGAUGGCGUUUUAAAAGAUGUUCUAGUGCAAGUGAAUGAGUUAGUUUUUCCAGCUGAUUUUUAUGUUUUAGACAUGGGAGCUAGUGAUAACUCAGUUGAUGUACCCUUACUUUUAGGUAGACCCUUCCUUAAGACAGCUAGAACGAAAAUUGAUGUGCAUAAAGGGAACUUAGCAAUGGAAUUUGAUGGUGAGAUAAUUAAAUUUAAUAUAUUUGAUGCUAUGAGAUAUCCCAUUGAUAUUAAUUCUGUAUUUACUCUUGAUAUAAUUGACAAUUUUGUUCAAGAUGUCUAUGAAUUAGGGGAAGAAGACGAGUUGAAAAGCGUUCUAGCUAAGAGCAUUUUUGAUAUCGACAAGCAGGAAUUUAUCAUUUCUAAUUCUUUAAUUGACUCAGUUUGCGCUUUAGACUCGCUCGAAUUGACACGAUUCAAGCCGAUUCUCCCUAAUCUUAUGGUAACUGGUAAGCAAGUCCCUUCAUUGAUUUCGCCACCUAAAUUAGAGUUAAAAAAGCUGCCCAUAAAUUUAAAGUACAUUUAUUUAGGGGAAAAUCAAACUUUACCGUUGAUAGUGUCGAAUGCCUUAACUGAAUCCCAAGAAUCUAAGUUGCUUAGAGCUCUUAGGGAGCAUAAAGAAGCCUUCGGUUGGACACUAGCCGACAUUAAGGGACUUAGUACGACUUUGUGUACCCACAAGAUAGCCUUGGAACCAGAUUCAGUUCCCAAAAGAGACCUCCAAUGCCGAUUGAAUCCACCAAUGAUGGAGGUAGUUAAGACUGAAAUUUUGAAAUGGUUGGAAGCCGAUGUCAUUUAUCCUAUAGUCGAUUCAAAGUGGGUAAGUCCAAUUCAUAUUGUACCUAAGAAGGGAGGAACUACAAUAGUUACCAACAAGGAGGGCUUAGAGAUUCCUACGAGAGUGCAGAAUGGUUGGAGGGUUUGUAUAGACUACCGAAAACUGAACAAAGCCACUAAAAAAGACCAUUACCCCCUCCCAUUCAUGGAUCAAAUGUUAGAAAGGUUAGCUGGUCGCUCACAUUUUUGUUUUUUAGAUGGCUAUUCAAGUUAUUUGCAAGUACCUAUUGCACCUGAGGAUCAAGAGAAGACCACCUUCACUUGCCCGUUUGGAACUUACGCCUUCAAGAGAAUGCCUUUCGGAUUGUGCAAUGCACCAGCUACUUUUCAAAGAGGUAUAACGAGCAUAUUUUAAGAUUUUAUUUCACAUUUAAUGGAGGUGUUCGUGGAUGAUUUUACGGUUUAUGGUGAUUCAUUUGAUCAAUGUUUGCAUCAUCUUGUGUUAGUUCUUAGGCGUUGCAUUGAGACUAACCUAAUAUUGAAUUUUGAGAAAUGUCAUCUCAUGGUUGAGAAGGGCGUAGUAUUGGGGGAUGUCGUCUCAGCUAAAGGUUUAGAAGUCGACCAAGCCAAAGUCGAGGUAAUUAAAAAUCUACCUUAUCCAAGUACUGUGAAAGGAAUUCGAUCCUUCUUGGGUCAUAUAGGUUUUUACCGUCGGUUCAUCAAGAAUUUUUUGCAGAUAUCGUCACAUUUAUGUGCAUUGCUCGGUAAGGAUGUCGCAUUUGAAUUUAGUGAGAAUUGCAAAAAAUCUUUUGAUGAAUUGAAAUUGAAAUUGAUCACGACUCCUAUCAUCCAAGGACCGAAUUAUGCAUUAUCUUUUGAGAUUCUAUGUGAUGCUAAUGAUAAGGCUGCUGGUGCGGCUUUAGGACAAAGAAAUGGUAAGGAGUCUUAUAUUAUCAGAUAUGCUAGCGAGCUAUUGAACCCAGCUCAAUGCAAUUAUACCACGACCGAGAAAGAGCUCUAUGCCAUAGUUUUUGCCUUAGAGAAAUUUAGAGCAUACUUGUUAGGAGUCAAAGUUGUUGUAUUUUCUUACCAUGGUGCUCUUAAAUAUUUGUUGCAUAAAAAAGAAGCUAAGCCCCGAUUAAUAAGAUGGAUUUUGCUUUUGCAGGAAUUUGACUUGGAAAUUAAAGAUAAGAAAGGUAAGGAGAACCUUGUGGCCGAUCAUUUGAGUAGGAUAGAUACUGGAAUUUUGAGGGAUGAGCCGAGUGAUUUAUUUCCCGAUGAGCGACUUUAUAGUGUGUCUAGUGUUUUGCCAUGGUAUGCCGACAUAGUGAACUACUUAGUGACUAAAGAGUUCCCUACGAAUGCACCUAGACCUUUAAGAGAAAAAAUUAGAAGUCAAGCCCGAUUCUACUUAUGGGAAGAGCCAUACCUUUGGCGAUUUUGUAGUGAUCAAAUAAUUAGGCGUUGUGUCGAUGGUAGUGAGAUAGAUUCGGUGCUUAAUUUUUGUCAUUCUCGAGAAGGUAGAGGACAUUUUGGGCCUAAGCGAACAGCUCAUAAAAUACUUGAGUGUGGGUUAUUUUGGCCAACUAUUCAUAAAUAUUCAUAUGCAUUUUGUAAAAAUUGUGCAUCAUGUCAAAAAACCGGCAAUUUAAGUAGCAGAAAUCAAAUGCCAUUACAUAAUUUUUAUGUUUGUGAUAUAUUUGAUGUAUGGGGUAUUGAUUUUAUGGGGCCUUUUCCUUGUUCUUUCGGUUAUCUAUACAUUCUUGUGUGUGUCGAUUACUUGUCGAAAUGGGUAGAAGCAUUCCCAACUAGGGCCAAUGAUGCUAAAACAGUGGUGAAAUGUCUUAAGACUAACAUCUUAAAUAGAUACGGAGUACCCAGGGCUAUAAUCAGUGACAAGGGAACACAUUUCUGUAAUAGAACCUUGAAAGCCUUAUUUGCACAAUUUGGUGUCACUCACAAAGUAUCGACAGCUUAUCACCCUCAAACCAAUGGGCAAGCCGAGAGUAGUAACAAAGAGAUUAAAGGAAUUUUAGAGAAAAUUGUUAAGCCCAAUAGGAAAGAUUGGAGUCAAAGGUUAGAUGAAGCAUUGUGGGCUGUUUGAACGGCUUACAAAACUCCAAUUGGGAUGUCACCUUAUAUGGUUGUUUUUGGGAAGGCAUGUCAUCUUCCUGUAGAGCUUGAACAUAGGUCAUUUUGGGCUGUUAAGCAAUGCAAUUUGGAUUAUAGUUUGGCAGGUGAAAAGCGCAAGUUGAAGCUGCAAGAAUUUGAGGAGUUACGCCUAGAGGCAUAUGACAAUUCGGUCAUCUACAAAGGUAAGUCGAAGGCAUUUCGUGACUCCAAGCUGAUUCGCAAAGAAUUUAAGGUGGGGGAAAAGGUACUACUCUUUAAUUCUAAGCUUAAAUUGUUUCCCGGUAAGUUAAAAUCAAGGUGGCUUGGUCCAUUUAUAAUAACCGAGGUACAUCAUCAUGGGGCAAUCGAAAUAAGGAGCCUCGAAACUAAUAAAAUUUUUAAGGUGAAUGGUCACAGGUUGAAACAUUUUCAUGAAGAGGAGCAAGCAACUUGGUUGGAGGAGAUCAAUCUUGAGGAUCCAUGAGGAAUUGUGAUGUCGAGCCAAUGACUUAAAACAAAGGCGCUUGUGGGAGGCAACCCACGUAUUCAGGGAAGUUUUCUUUUAUCUUUUCUAAUAUUAUUGUUUCUUUCAAUUAAAUAAAUUUUUAAAUUUUAAUUUUCUUUCGCAUUAGGGGCAAUGCAAACGUUAAGUAUGGGGGAGAAUCAAUUAAUUGAUUUUCUAACAUAUUUUAUGUUUGUUUUAAUUUAGCUACUUUCAUAAAUUUUGUUAAAUUUCUUUACGUAUUAAAAUAAAAGAAUGAAGGUGUAUUUUAUGAAUUCAAGAUUGAUUGUGAUUGUUGUAUGUCGAUUGGUUGGGAUUAAUUUUGUUUUCAAUUGACUGAUUUUGGUUUUGAAAAGAAAAAAAACUUGAUUUUGUACUUUAAAAUUGAAGAGAUUUUUAGUCUGCUUACUUGAUCGAUCAUGUGGUCCUUGUGAGGAGUUUGAGCCUAGAGAGUAAGUUGGGACAUCCAUGCCAACUUGAGAGGUUAUUAUUUAUUCAUGUGUGAUUAUUGUAUCAAUUGUCAAUUACUCUAGAACUUGCUUUAGAUCUUAUUAAAGAUAGUAAUACAUUUGAUUUCCAUUAAAUAUGAUUCAAGAGGCCAUAGGAAUUAAGCCACAAUUACUUAUAAAAAAAAAACCAACCUUGACAUUAUUCCAAUUAGUUAGCCAAUUUGAAGCCUUAAUUUCCCAAUUUUUAUGUACCUCCAGAAAUUGAGCCAAAAGCCUAAAUCAACCUACCUUAUUAGGCUAGUUAAUUCAGUUUGGAAGUUCAUCAUAACUCCGACAUAUGCUGGCCAAUUUUGGGUGAUGUUUAGCUGGAAAUUACAGGCUGAUUUUUGUGAGAAAUAAGCAGCAAGUUGCAGCCUUCCGAGUGAAUUUAAUGAAUGUAGCGUCAUGUGAUCAUAAGGGAAUGGAUCGGUUGAACCAAGGGACAUGGAAACAAUGAAAGGCUGAUUGAUUUAGUUAUCUUCUUGAAUUGUUGAAAACAAAGAAAAAAAGAAAAAAGAAGAAGAAGAAGAGAGAAAUGAGAGAAUUGAUGACUCCCGGACGAUUAACUAGUCUAAGAAAAUUAGCUCCACCAUCCAAAUAAAUUCCUCCCGUCCACUGCACAUUACCUCGGCCCCAUUACAACCUUAAUUUGGCCUUAAUUAUAUUUAUGAAAUUUUAUGUAUUAUGUUAAGGUAAGAUGGACAAGCAAGCCUAUGGGGAUAAUUACGGUUGAUUUCAAUUUGAGAGCGUUGUACUAGCCUAAACACAAUGAGUGAAGAGUGUUAAUAAUUUUAUUCUUUUCGGUGAGAAUUGAUCAAAGAAGCAUGAUUAAUUUCCUUUAUAUUUUCCUCUCUUGAAUAAACCAAAAUCUAAAUUGUUGAUUUUAGAAUUCAUCCCAAGCAUGAGCGAUGCAACAACUCUUUAUUAGUCUUGAUAUUUCUGAAAUUCUUCUUGAUUCUUUUAAACUUGAUUGCUCAGGGACGAUCAAUGGCUUAAGUAUGGGGGAGUUUGUUAAGUUCAAUUUUGAGCUUAACUUAUUCAACUAAAUUAUUUAAAUUAUUGAUUAAAUUUUGAGUAAUUGAAUUUUGAAUUAGUCUAAAUUACAGCAAGAACAUCCCAUGCCGUAAUAAUGUUUUUCUGCUCCAAUUCAGUAAUUUAAUGUUAAAUUUUUAAGUCAUGUGCAGGUGAAUGACAUUUUGAUUUCCGUAUGAGCUCAAUUUGGAAUUUAAUUUCAUGAUUAAGCUGCUGAAUGUUGAUCAUAUGCUGGUUGAAGGAAUUGAAUUAGCAUGUGGACAAAAGUCGGUCCAAUUAGAUGUAUAGUAGACCAAACAUACGACAAAAUCAGCAAGGAAAUUAAAUUGAUUUCCUUCCAGUGGUGGUCGACUCUAAUUACAUCAGCCUUGUAGAGUUUAAUUAAAGCAAAACUAUAUUAAGCUAAGGCUAUUUUCAUGUGACGGGUUCAGCUAGGAUAAAGGGGGAUAAGAUUGAUUUUAAUUUUUGAAUUGAUUGGAGGAUAUUAUCCCAUAAAUAGAGAAGGUCAGCAGCUGGAACGAGGGGGAAGAAACAGAGAAAAACAUACAGCAGCAUAGGAAAGGCGUGAUUCAAGCAAGCAGAAUUUUCUAAAAUUGGACCAGCAAAUCCGAUCAAGGAGCUAGAGUAGCAGCUAGUAAAUUCGGCUAAUUGGGAGAAGGGAAAUUGGACGACUUGAAGAGCUUUGCCUUCCAAGAAUUAGUUUGUAAUUCAUGUUCUUUUCAAUGGAUUCGUGCUCUGUUUUACUAGCUAUGAGUGGCUAGUUUAUUUACGCUUAGUUAGACACUUAUGAAACCGAGCACAAGUGAAUUGAAAAUUUAUUUUGUUCUAAAAUCAAAUUAGGCAUUCUUGAAUUGUCUGAUUUUAUCUUCCGAAGAAUUUUUUUUCCAAUUCAAUUGGAGUGAUCACCUAAUUAAUUUGGGAAUUUUUCUUAUAAUCAUUUAAGUGCAAAUUGAGGAAUCGAAUUUCUCAAUUAACAUUAGAAUUAGUGAUAAUUAAUUGGCCGUAGCUAAUUAAGACAACUUCAGAUUUAAUCUUAGAAGCCGCUGGUGGAUUUUCUUUGGUUAAGGCCAGGCGAAGUCUCUCAAUCUCUAAAAAAAAUCUUUAACAAGUCAACACAAAGAUAAGUAAAGGUAAAUUUCAAUCAUGGACGUUCUCUAAUUGAAUAAUUUACUAGGGAUAGGAAGUCGCUUCGUAAGUGAUUUUUCAGCCUUGCUGCUAAUUUGAUUUCUUAGCUUAAUUUCAGGUUGCAAAGAACUUGUGCUUGGUGGAUUAAGGCGUCAAUAACUAAGCAUUAUUCCUCUCUUGAUAUUUUCUCCUCAGCAGUUUUAAUUCGAGCCAAAGUUUAUUUAUUACUUGAGACUAUUUUUAGCAAUCAUAAAACAUAAACUCCCCCCAUUUUUCCUCUCUUUAGUUUCGCAUGCUUUUUACAUUACUUUAAUUUUAAAUCGCUUCGAAUAGAUUUGUUGCAAGCUUCCUCGUGGGACGAUUCCCUAUUUACCCUAUAUUACAAGUUAAUGUAGGUUAAGAAUGUGAGUUUAAUUUGGCAGACGUAAACGACAGUUACCAGGCAUUGCCCACGCCCAUCGCAUGACCGGACCUCGGUGCCCCCCACCGCCGGUUAGGUCCUCGAUGGUGCUCCAGUGAGCCAUUUCGACGAGGCAUCACAGAAUAUACAAAAUGAUGCAACGAGUCCCUCCCCAAUCCCAAAGGUAGAAUUUGGAUAUCUUUACAUGUGACGUACCCAACAAUGAACUAAUCGUUCCGGUCCCUCCCCAAUCCCAAAGGUAGAAUUUGGAUAUCAUUACAUGUGACGUACCCAAUAAUAAAUGAAUCGUCCCAGUCCCUCCCCUUGGUCGUGCGUGAGCCUUUGGCACCAUCGACAACCUAGGUCCUUGGUCGUGCGGGAGCCUCGGGCACCAUCGGUAACCUAGGCCCUUGGUCAUGCGAGAGCCUCGGACACCAUCGUCAAAAUAGACCCUUGGUCGUGCGAGAGCAUUGAGCACCAUCGGCACCUUGGUGCUUUGAUGUGUGGAGCCUCAGACACCAUCGGGAACCUAGAACGUUGGAUGUGACAGUGCCUCAAGCAACAAUGGCAGCCUGGUACCUCAGAUGUGCGGGCAAAAGAAAAGUGUCCCCGUUUCAGACAUACGAGUGUCGCCUGGUAGGUUGCCUGGUAGUGGUCGCCUGGUAGCGUAGCGCGCGCGUGUUUUGAUUUUCUCUAAGAAUUGGACGAUUUCGUUUCUUGUUUUCUAGCUUGUGUGUCUGCCUUAUUCGUCUUGAAUAUUAUGGCAGUAAAGGGGGUUUGAUUGUGUGGUUUCCUUUGGUGUUGUUUUCUUACGAUUUUGUUUUCCUGUUUUGUUGGUGGUGCGCCUGAGUUGAUUGUGAUUGGUGUCAGACGAUGAUUGUUCAGUGGACAAGACUUUUGCGCUGUUUUGUUGGUAUCGUGUUCAUGUACAGGGUUUGCCUGUUUGCUUUUGCGGUGUUUCUUGCUUUCUCGGUGGCAGAGGGUUUUAACCGCGAGACAAAACGUUUGCGUGUGGAGCCCAUUUGUCGUCUCUUUUUUAUCAGUUUUUUGGUUUAUUUAUUUUAGUUUUAUCCAUUUUCUCUCUAUUGUCGUUGACUUCUCGGGUGUUUUACGUAGGUUGUGUUGCUUUUGCAUGGUUUAUGCAUGGUUUUGACAUUUUCUCGUGGGAUUUGACUGAUUGCCACUGUGGCCCAUAAGGAGGCUCUGCUUUAUGUUUUGACUUUUCUAUUUCCGUACGUUUCUUGGGUGUUGUUUUUGCAUAGUUUUAUGGUUUUUUCUUUCUUUCUUUCUGGGGAUUGCAUUUUUAACUUGUUUGUAAGGUUCAUGUUUUGCUUGUUUCUCUCCAUUUUUUUCGCAUUUCUUAUUGGAGUUGUAGGGUGUUUUCUCGUUAGUUGUCUGGGUUUCUCCAUGGCAUUUUGGUUUCUGCGUCUUGGCUGGUUUCUUGGUUGACAAAUUUGGCUCCUUCGCUCUGUUGAGGUGCGGGGGAUCUUUUUUGGUUCCUGGCGUUUUGCCUGUGCUUGAUGUGCCGUCGCCUUUGGUUUUCUCUCCGGUCUGUGGUGAACGUUUGUUGUGGUCUCCGUCCGUUCCUUUCUUGUUCUUCUUUAUCGUGUUUUAGCAGUGCUCUAAGGCUGUCGAGUCAUGGAGGAGAAGUCAGACUGUGAAAUCAAUCCAAUGACGGGGGAACUUAGCGACCUUCUGGCGAGGCUGAAAUUUUCAGAAGAAGAAUCCGUCCAAAUUGUUUGCAAAAAUGACGAUCACAGUGGACGCGGCUUUGAGUCGUGGGCAAUCGGUAAGAUUAUGGCGACAGAGACCCCAAAUAGGGAGGCUAUGUACAGGGUCUUCAAGUCGCUGUGGUAUACCAAGGAAGAGGUGGAGUUUGUUGCAUUAAAGGAAGGGAUGGUGAUUGUUAAGUUUAGGUGCCAGGAGGAUCGCAGUCACAUUUUGAACCUUACGCCGUGGCUGUUCGAUAGGUGCUUAUUCUCAAUGUUGCUGUUUGAGAAAGGAAAGGCCAUUGAGACGUAUGAAUUUGGGUGGUCGCCCUUUUGGCUCAGGAUUUAUAACAUUCCUUUAGAGCUUAUGGAUCGACAGACGGCGCUAGAUGUUGGAAAUGCGGUGGGUGAGCUGGUGGCGAUUGACUGGAAGGACCGAAAUGGGGGGUGGACUGAUUUUAUUAGGAUCAAAGUUAAAAUAAAUAUAUUAAAACCCUUAAGGAGAGUGGUGAAAUUACUGGACAGAGAGAGGUCGGAAGUGACAGGGGUAAUAAAGUAUGAACGGCUUCCAGAUUUUUGCUAUGCUUGUGGGCUGAUAGGACACUCGAGCAAGAAGUGUAAAUAUAAGGAGGAAAGCUUUGCGGUGACUGAGUCAAGUCUACAAUAUGGUGGUUGGAUGAGGGCACCGACUGUUAAUUUAACCCAGGACAAAGGUAUAUGGAGAAAUGGGGUGGAAAUUGUUAAAAAAAAGGUUCAAAGGAGUGAUGAUAGGGAGGAAAGCCAGUCAAACUCGAAGGGGGAAGUGGGCAGAUGGGACAGAAAGAAAAGGAAAGACCUUGUGAAGAGGAAUCAAUGUCUACUUCCCCUGCGGGGAAAAAGAGUCAUAGAGUUAUAAGGGACGGUAUGGGAAGGUUUAAGAGCAAACGAAAGAGACACAGGGGUUUAGGAGGAGAUAGUAUGGAAGAAAGUCUGACAAAAAUGGCUAAAAGGAGGCUGUUAGAGAGUCUCUCACCUUUGAAGGCGGUGGCUGGUGACUAGCCCCUCAAGAACAAUGAAAAUCUUUUGUUGGAACUGUCGUGGGGUUGGAAACCCCGCAACAGUUCGUGAGCUAAAGCAACUUCUCGUUGCAAAUGUUCCUGAUAUCGUUUUCUUAUGUGAUACCAAAAUUCACGCUAACGAGAUUUCCCGUAUUCGGACCAUGUGCAGGAUGGAGGGGUGUUUUGUUGUUAUCUCGGAUAGGAAGAGUGUGGUCUGGCGCUGAUGUGGAGGGAAGGUGUUGAUGUUACAGUUCAGAAUUACUUAAGAUUUCACAUUGAUUCGGUGGUCUGUAUGGAGAAUGGGGAGAAGGUUCGGUUCACUAGCUUUUAUGGGAAAACUGAGCCAAGUCUAAGGAAUGAUGCGUGGGAGAUGUUGAGAAGAGUGAAGAGGACGGUUAAUGAAAGUUGGAUUGUGGGGGGAUUUUAAUGCUAUCUUGAACUAUUCUGAGAAGGAUGGUGGCCGCAAAAAAACCUAAUGCCGUGAUGGAAGAGUUUGGGGAUAUCUUGGAGGAGUUAAGCCUGAUGGAUGUGAAAACGUUCAAUGGCUGGUUCACUUGGUCAAAUAACAGAGAAGGAAACAAGCUGGUGAAAGAAAGAUUGGAUAGGUUUGUCAUUUCGGACAAUAUUAUGGAGAAAAUGCCGUUCCUUGCCUCCUAUAUUGUGCGCCAGUCAAAGUCUGACUAUGAAGCCAUCCUUAUGGACUUUUAUGGGAAUAGGCCGAAGGUGAAAGGAAAUGAUCCAAAGGUUUGGUUUAGGUAUGAUCGAUGUUAGGCCAAGGAGUGGGAAGCCAGAGACAUUAUUUCUAGUAUUUGGUCCAACGAGAGAACAAUUUUGCUACGAAAAAUGGAGCUGAUUUACGAGAGACUUGCUCCGUGGCAACACCAACGAUACAGAAGGAUGAUUUACAAAGUUAAAAGUUUGGAAAAGGAUAUUGGUAGUUUGAUGGAUGGGCCUAUGAACGAGAGAACUACGAAGUUGAUAAAGGAAGCUCGUUACAAGUUGGGCCAGUUGUAUGAUGCGGAAGAGCAAUAUUGGGCAACUAGAUCGAGAUCCCAGUGGCUCAGGGAAGGGGAUAGAAAUACGCGCUACUUUCACGAACGGGCGUCGGGGUGUAGAAAAAAGAAUAGCAUCGAUAGGCUUAAAGAUGAGCAGGGUAAUUGGCACGAUGACAAUGACGAGAUCUGUCGCGUUGCUUGUGACUAUUUUAAUGGGUUAUUUAAGACUUCUUUAGAGUCGGGGAAGGAUAAUGGACUGCAUGUUAUCCCUGAAAGUAUAAGCAACGAUAUGAACAGGAGGCUGAAUGGAGAGUUUUCUAAGGAUGAGAUUCUGCUGGCUUUCAAUCAAAUGGACCCUCGUAAGGCUUCGGGGACCGAUGGGCUGUCGGGGAGCUUUUUUAAGGACCAUUGGACGAUGGUGGGCGAGGAUGUUUUGCCAUGUGCCAGGAUAUUCUCAAUGGUUAUAGGAAUGCUGAGCCGAUUAACGAAAAUCUCAUUGUUUUGAUACCAAAAAUUAAAAACCCCUGUGCUAUGACUAACUUUCGUCCAAUUAGUUUGUGCAAGUUUCUCUACAAGAUUGUUUCGAAGGCUCUUGCUAACAGGCUUAAAGCGAUCCUUCCUAUAUGCAUCAGCCAAAAUCAGAGCGCUUUCGUCCCUAACAGGAUGAUCCAUGAUAACAUUCUGGUGGCUCAUGAGAUUAUGCGUUAUCUCAGGAGUUCUAAAAAUGGCCCCAACAAGGGUUGUGUGGUUAAGCUCGACAUGAGCAAAGCCUACGACCGCGUGGAAUGGAUCUUCCUUAUGAACGUUAUGAUCAAGAUGGGUUUCUCUGAUAUGUGGGUGAAAAAAAUUAUGGAUUGUGUAUGUUGGGUCCGAUACAGAGUUAAAUGUAACUCCAGUAUAUCCGAUAUCAUUAUACCGGAAAGAGGGCUCCGGCAAGGAGACCCGUUAUCCCAAUAUUUGUUUCUUUUCUGUAUNNNNNNNNNNNNNNNNNNNNNNNNNNNNNNNNNNNNNNNNNNNNNNNNNNNNNNNNNGGGUGAGUAAGGAUGGCCCAAGAAUAAACCACCUAUUUUUUUGCUGAUGAUGCUUUAUUGUUUAUCAGGAACAGAUAGAGCGAGGCGGAGGCUUUCUCAGAAAUUCUGGAGUCCUUUGAAAAGAUGUCUGGCCAAAAGAUAAAUUUGGAGAAGUCGAUGGUCUACUUUAGUCCCAAUACCUCCGGCCCUCAACGUGCGAGAUUGAGUAGUAUUCUUAAGAUGAGGGUGGUUGAUAACCUUGAUACUUAUCUAGGUCUGCCCAUCCCGAUUGGCAAGAAGAAGUCGGUGGCUUUCCAGGGCAUGGAUCGGAUGGCUAACAGAAUUAACAGUUGGUCUAAGAGGUUACUAUCGAAUGGUGGCAAAGAGGUCUUUAUUAAGUCGGUCCUUCAGGUGAUCCCCACUUAUGCGCUGUCAGUUUUCUUUGCCCCUGAGGGUAUCCUGGAGAAGUUUCAAAAAUUGAUAAGCCGAUUUUGGUGGAGUGGAAAGGUUAAGUCUAGAGGCUGAAAUUGUUUGGCGUGGGAUCGGGUUUGCUUCCCGAAAGGUAUGGGGGUCUGGGUUUCAGGGAUCUGCGGCGGUUCAAUGUACCGUUGCUGGGAAGACAAGUGUAGAGGUUGGUAAGCUGCAAAGACACGCUAUGUUUCAAAGUUUUAAGUGCCAAGUAUUUCCCGGAAGGUGAUACUUUUCGGCCAAAGAAAGUUGAUAAGCCGUCAUUUACGUGGAAGAGUAUUGCUAGAGCUGCAUGUAUUUUGCAUGAGGGUUUCGGGUGGAACGUGGGAAAUGGCAGAAAGAUUGACUUUUGGCAGGAGAACUGGGGUGUUGAAGGGCUCUCGGGGAGUCGAUCCUUCUGAACAGAAGGGAGGUGACCGAGACUAGGGUCUGUGAGCUGAUUGACGAUUCGAAUGUUGGCUAGCAGGAGGAGAAGGUUCGGGAGAUUUUUGGUGAUUACAUGGGGGACCAAAUCUGCAAAAUACCCAUUCUCUAUAAUGGCUCUGACGAUCAUCGCAUUUGGUUUCAUAAUCUGCUGGGAUCCUACUACACAAAAUCCGCAUACUCUUGGAUGACUUUAAAAUAUGUGGGCUUUGGUCCCCAUCGAUUUGUUUAGAGGCUCAUCUGGAAACUUCAAACCUUACCAAAGAUCAAGGUUUUUUGCUGGCGAAUUGGUCAUGACAUUUUGCCGACGUACGAGAAUAUUUCCAAAAUCAAGAGGGACUUUAACUGCAUAUGCCCGUGUUGUGGGAUCGAGAAGGAGACCCUCAUACAUGCUCUGAAAGAUUGCCGAAAAGCUAGGGCGGUUUUGACUUUCAGGGUAUUGAUGACGCUCUUGUGGAAGGUCGUUAUCGAAGAUGCGUAGACUGGAUUGAAGAUGCGGCUCGAUCGCUGGAUAAGAAGGCUCUGUCGGAAUUUGUUACUGUGCUUUGGAAUAUUUGGAACAGCAGAAAUAAUAAAGUUUUUAGAAACACGAAGGAUGAGGCGAGGCUUAUCUGGGAUAGAGCGGCUGUGUGGAAUAGGGAUUUUCACAUUUUUAAUUUUAUGGAAAAACCGAUGAUUCCCAAACCGGUUGGGGAGAAUGGGUGGUAGAAACCUGGUACUGGGGUGGUAAAAAUAAAUUCUGAUGCUGCUGUUGAUGGGAGAAGGAUGAGUUUCGGGCUUGCUGCGAGCGACCAUGAGGACUUCGUGCUUGGGGGCGCACGGGUGUCAUGGAGAAUCACGUUGGCACUGAAUGGGCCGAGUUGCAGGCGUUAGCGGAAAGCUUGGAGCUGGCUCAGGAGAAAAGAUGGCUUAAGCUGGAGCUGGAGUCGGACUGUGCGAAUUUGGUAAAUCGGAUGAAAAGGGCGCGCGUUGACUUUUCAACCUAUGGCUUCCGCAUUCUGCAGCUUCUUAAUUUGUUUGAAUCGUGUUUUACUUUUAACUUUGUUUGGACUCCGCGCUGUUGUAAUACAGUGACAGGCCAACUUUGUUUUUGGGCCUUUAAAAACAAUUGUUCUUAGGCUUUUGAAAUGGACUAUCCGAUUGAGAUCCAUGAUGUAAUUUUGAAAGAUGCUAUUAAUUGAAUUGUCUCGACCUUCGGGUCUUUCAAUCAAAAAAAAAGAGUGUCGCCUGGUAGCACAUUGCUAAAGUUUUUUUUAGCUCUUUAGGGGGAGGUGAUAUUGAGCAAGUAGUGGUUGUCCAGGGCACUGCCCACGCCCACCGCAUGCCCGAAUAUCGGUGCCCCCCACCGGCGAGCCAUUCCGAUAGCAUUGGCCCUUGGUCGCGGGGGAGCCUCAGGCACCAUCGGCACCUUGGUGCUAGGAUGUGCGGGAGCCUCGAACACCAUCGGCAACCUAGGCCCUUGAACUUGCGAGACCCUCGGGCACCAUUAGCACCUAGGUGCUUAGAUGUGUUUGAGCCUCAAACACCAUCGGCGGGACCCUCGGGCACCAUCGGCAACCUAGGCCCUUGGUCGUGCGAGAGCCUCGGGCACCAUCGAAACCAUGGCUCUCGGAUGUGCAGGAGCCUCGGACAACAUCGACAAACUAGUCCCUUGAUCUUGCGGAAGCCUCGGGCACCAUCGGCUACCUAGGCCCUUGGUCGUGUGAAAGCCUCGGGCACCAUUGGCACCUGGGUGCUCGGAUGUGUGGGAGCCUCGAACACCAUCGACAAACUAGGCCCUUGGUCGUGCGGGAGCCUCGGACACCAUCGACACCUCAAUGCUAUGAUGUGCGGGAGCCUCGGACAUUGUCGGUAACCUAGACCCUUGGUCGUGCGGGAGCCUCAGACACCAUUGGCAAACUCAGUGCUAUGAUGUGUGGGAGCCUCGAACAUUGUCGGUAACCUAGGCCCUUGGUCGUGCGGUAGCCUCGGACACCAUCAGUAAGCUAGGCCCUUGGUCGUGCGGGAGCCUAGGGCACUAUCGGUACCUCAGUGCUAUGAUGUGCAGAUGCCUCAGACACUAUCGGUAACUUAGGCCCUUCGUCGUGCGGGAGCCUCGAGCACCAUCGACAACUUGGUGCUUGAAUGUGCGGGAACCUCUGACACCAUCGGCAACAUAGGCCCUUGGUCGUGUGUGAGCCUCGGGCACCAUCGGCAACUAGGCCCUUGGUCGUGCUGGAGCCUUGGGAACCAUCGGCAACUACACCCUUGGUCGUGCGGGAGCCUCGGGCACCAUCGGCACCUAGGUGCUCGAAUGUGCGAGAGCCUCAGGCACCAUCGGCAACUAGGCCCUUGGUCGUGCGGGAGCCUCGGGGACCAUCGGCAACUAGACCCUUGGUCGUGCGGGAGCCUCGGGCACCAUCAGCAAACUAGGCCCUUGGUCGUGUGGGAGCCUAGGGCACUACUGGUACCUCAGUGCUACGAUGUGCGGAAGCCUCAGACACUACCAGCAGCCUAGGCCUUGCUCGUGCCAGAGCCUCGGGCACCAUCGACACCUCAGUGCUAUGAUGUGCGGGAGCAUCGGACAUUGUCGAUAACCUAGGCCCUUUGUAACAGCCCGAUUUUGGGCCUAGUCGGAAUAGUGGUUUCGGGACCACAAAUCCGACGAGGGAAAAUAUGGUUAUUAUUAUAUUUUUAUGGUCUACAAUUUCACGGAAAAUUUUCGUAAAAAUUUCGUUCGAAAAUUUCGACGUUUGGGCACUCAAUUUAGUCAAAAGGACUAAAUUGUAAAUAGUGCAAAAGUUGAGUUCUACAUCUUAGAGGUGUCUAAUUGUUAUGAAAUUUUAAAUUGGAGGUCUUUAUGUGGUAAUUAGACCAUUAGUUAGUUGAUGGACAAAAAUAGACAUAAGAAAUGGGUGAAAUAGAUUUUUUUUAAAUGGGGGCAUUUUAGUCAUUUGGUUAUUAAAUAGAAUUAAAUGGGAAAAAGAUGGCAAAAUAUGCUCAUCUUCUUCAUGGUGAACGAAAUCAGCAAGGGGGAAGCCAUAUUUAGGGUUUUUAAGCUUUCAAGCUCCAUAAUCAAGAAAGACGUGAAGAGUAUAUCAAACGGGGAAAAGAAAAGAUAGUGGAGUAAAGUGUAAAAUUACGAUAUUUUGCACCGAGGUAAGUAAACACGUGACUUAAUGUAUUAUUUUGAUAUUAUUUGAUAUAUGUUGAGAUUUAUUUGGAAUUAAAAUAAAUGUUUGGCAAUAUCCUAAAAAUGUUGUUAAAUCGGGAAAGGUGAUAAAGGGUUGCAAUAUAUGGGUUAUGGGUUGAACACUCGGAAUAAGCCGGAGUAUGUUGUAUAUAAAAGGGGUUGCUGUGUGCUGAUUCCCCGAUUUAUGGGUGGUGCUAUGUGCGUGAUCCACCAUAUCUUUGAAAUGUGAAAGGGGGUUGCUAUGUGCUGAUUCCCCCGAGGGGUUGCUAAGUGCUGAUUCCCCGAUUUCAUUGGUGGUGCUAAGUGCGAUAUCCACCAUAUCUUUGAAAUGAAAAGGGGGGUUGCUAUGUGCUGAUUCCCCCGAGGGGUUGCUAAGUGCUGAUUCCCCGAUUCAGUGGUGGUGCUAAGUGCGGGAUCCACCAAUAACGGCUAACAUUCCGAGUGUUCAACGAAAAAGUGUGGAAGAUGAAUAUUG
rnacentral:lncRNA from 1 species